UUUGGUGACAAUAUUGGACGACACAUACCAUU
rnacentral:piRNA from 1 species